rnacentral:rRNA from 1 species
GUCUAUGGCCAUGCCUCCCUGAACAAGCCCGAUCCCGUCUGAUCUCGGAAGCUAAGCAGGGUCGGGCCUGGUUAGUACUUAGGUGGGAGACCACCUAGAAGACCAGAUGCUGUAGGCG